CGGGGCGUGGCGUAGUCCGGUAGCGCACCUGGAUGGGGUCCAGGGGGUCGAUGGUUCAAAUCCAUUCGCUCCGA
rnacentral:tRNA from 1 species